rnacentral:misc_RNA from 2 species
AAGUCGUAACAAGGUUUCCGUAGGUGAACCUGCGGAAGGAUCAUUACAGAGCGUGAGGCUCAGUCGUGGCGUCAGCUGCGUGCUGGGCCGACCCUCCCACCCGUGUCGAUUUCUAUCUUGUUGCUUUGGCGGGCCGGGCUACGUCGUCGCUGCCCGUACGGACAUGCGUCGGCCGCCCACCGGUUUCGACUGGAGCGCGUCCGCCAAAGACCUAACCAAAACUCAUGUUGUCUUUGUCGUCUCAGCUUUAUUAUUGAAUUGAUAAAACUUUCAACAACGGAUCUCUUGGCUCUG